UACGUAGGGGGCAAGCGUUAUCCGGAUUUACUGGGUGUAAAGGGAGCGUAGACGGCCAUGCAAGCCAGGGGUGAAAGCCCGGGGCCCAACCCCGGGACUGCCCUUGGAACUGCAUGGCUGGAGUGCGGGAGGGGCAGGCGGAAUUCCAGGUGUAGGAGUGAAAUCCGUAGAUAUCUGGAGGAACAUCAGUGGCGAAGGCGGCCACCUGGACCGGUAUUGACGCUGAGGCGCGAAAGCGUGGGGAGCAAACAGG
rnacentral:rRNA from 1 species